UAAAGUUGGCCACAAAAUGAGUGUAUUCUUGUAGUGGUUAGUACAUAUAUAUUUUUUGUUAUUCCCAAGAGAAGGUAUCGUGGGAUCCUUGUCAUAAUGAUAUUGUGAAACGUCUAUUUGAACAAAAGGCCGCUAAAAAACUAUCAGAUAUGCUUACGAAGGUGAGGAAAAAAGGGACUCGACCUAGUUGGAUAGGUGAGGAAGCUUGGACUAGUCUUCAAGCAUAUUGGGAAGGUACAUCAUUCAAGAACAUCUCCAACCAAAAUAAGACCAAUCGAGCUUCAACAAGAGGCGGGGCUGUCCACACCUCAAGCUGCAAGGCUCAUAUUGAUGUUGCGAUUGAGCUCAGCAAUAACCUUCAAAGAGAUUUACUUCCAGAUGAGUUAUUUUUGACAACCCACAAGAG